rfam:Canis lupus familiaris chromosome 23, whole genome shotgun sequence.
ACCUGGCUAGCUUAGUUGGUAGAGCAUGUGACUCCUGAUCUCUGGGUUAUAAGUUUGAGUCCCAUGUUGGGUA